UGGGGAAUUUUGCACAAUGGGGGAAACCCUGAUGCAGCGACGCCGCGUGAUUUAGAAGGCCUUCGGGUUGUAAAAAUCUUUUGUAUGGGAAGAAAAUGACAGUACCAUACGAAUAAGGACCGGCUAAUUCCGUGCCAGCAGCCGCGGUAAUACGGAAGGUCCGGGCGUUAUCCGGAUUUAUUGGGUUUAAAGGGAGCGUAGGCUGUCUAUUAAGCGUGUUGUGAAAUUUACCGGCUCAACCGGUGGCUUGCAGCGCGAACUGGUCGACUUGAGUAUGCAGGAAGUAGGCGGAAUUCAUGGUGUAGCGGUGAAAUGCUUAGAUAUCAUGACGAACUCCGAUUGCGCAGGCAGCUUACUGUAGCAUAACUGACGCUGAUGCUCGAAAGUGCGGGUAUCAAACAGG
rnacentral:rRNA from 1 species